rnacentral:rRNA from 1 species
GAUGAACGCUGACAGAAUGCUUAACACAUGCAAGUCGAUUCGAUUUACCUUCGGGUAUUGAGGAUGGCGGACGGGUGAGUAACGCGUAAGGAACUUGCCUCUUGGUCUGGGACAACUGUUGGAAACGACAGCUAAUACCGGAUAUUAUGAGAUUCUCGCAUGGGAAACUUAUGAAAGCUAUAUGCGCCAAGAGAGAGCCUUGCGUUCCAUUAGCUAGUUGGUGGGGUAACGGCCCACCAAGGCGACGAUGGAUAGCCGGCCUGAGAGGGUGAACGGCCACAAGGGGACUGAGACACGGCCCUUACUCCUACGGGAGGCAGCAGUGGGGAAUAUUGGACAAUGGACCAAAAGUCUGAUCCAGCAAUUCUGUGUGCACGAUGAAGGUCUUCGGAUUGUAAAGUGCUUUCAGUUGGGAAGAAGCAAGUGACGGUACCAACAGAAGAAGCGACGGCUAAAUACGUGCCAGCAGCCGCGGUAAUACGUAUGUCGCAAGCGUUAUCCGGAUUUAUUGGGCGUAAAGCGCGUCUAGGCGGAAAAAUAAGUCUGAUGUUAAAAUGCGGGGCUCAACUCCGUAUUGCGUUGGAAACUGUUUUUCUAGAGUACUGGAGAGGUGGGCGGAACUACAAGUGUAGAGGUGAAAUUCNUA